rnacentral:rRNA from 1 species
AUUGAACGCUGGCGGCAGGCCUAACACAUGCAAGUCGAACGAGUGGCGGACGGGUGAGUAAUGUCUGGGAAACUGCCUGAUGGAGGGGGAUAACUACUGGAAACGGUAGCUAAUACCGCAUACCCUCAGAUGUGCCCAGAUGGGAUUAGCUUGUUGGUGGGGUAACGGCUCACCAAGGCGACGAUCCCUAGCUGGUCUGAGAGGCUGACCAGCCAAACUGGACAUGAGAAACGGUCCAGAAUCCUACGGGAGGCAGAAGUGGGGAAUAUUGGACAAUGGGCGAAAGCCGGAGGCACAAAGGCCGCGUGGAGGAAGAAGGCCUUCGGGUUGUAAAGUACGUUCAGCGGGGAGGCGUUACCCGAAGAAGAAGCACCGGCUAACUCCGUGCCAGCAGCCGCGGUAAUAC